rnacentral:tRNA from 1 species
GUUAAAUUAGUUAAGUAAUAACAUCUAAUUUGUAAUUAGAAAUCGAUUGAGGUCAUUUAACU